UGCAGUCGAACGGGAUCCAUCAGGCUUUGCUUGGUGGUGAGAGUGGCGAACGGGUGAGUAAUGCGUGACCGACCUGCCCCAUACACCGGAAUAGCUCCUGGAAACGGGUGGUAAUGCCGGAUGCUCCGACUCCUCGCAUGGGGUGUCGGGAAAGAUUUCAUCGGUAUGGGAUGGGGUCGCGUCCUAUCAGGUAGUCGGCGGGGUAACGGCCCACCGAGCCUACGACGGGUAGCCGGCCUGAGAGGGCGACCGGCCACAUUGGGACUGAGAUACGGCCCAGACUCCUACGGGAGGCAGCAGUGGGGAAUAUUGCACAAUGGGCGCAAGCCUGAUGCAGCGACGCCGCGUGCGGGAUGACGGCCUUCGGGUUGUAAACCGCUUUUGAUCGGGAGCAAGCCUUCGGGUGAGUGUACCUUUCGAAUAAGCACCGGCUAACUACGUGCCAGCAGCCGCGGUAAUACGUAGGGUGCAAGCGUUAUCCGGAAUUAUUGGGCGUAAAGGGCUCGUAGGCGGUUCGUCGCGUCCGGUGUGAAAGUCCAUCGCUUAACGGUGGAUCUGCGCCGGGUACGGGCGGGCUGGAGUGCGGUAGGGGAGACUGGAAUUCCCGGUGUAACGGUGGAAUGUGUAGAUAUCGGGAAGAACACCAAUGGCGAAGGCAGGUCUCUGGGCCGUUACUGACGCUGAGGAGCGAAAGCGUGGGGAGCGAACAGGAUUAGAUACCCUGGUAGUCCACGCCGUAAACGGUGGAUGCUGGAUGUGGGGCCCGUUCCACGGGUUCCGUGUCGGAGCUAACGCGUUAAGCAUCCCGCCUGGGGAGUACGGCCGCAAGGCUAAAACUCAAAGAAAUUGACGGGGGCCCGCACAAGCGGCGGAGCAUGCGGAUUAAUUCGAUGCAACGCGAAGAACCUUACCUGGGCUUGACAUGUUCCCGACAGCCGUAGAGAUAUGGCCUCCCUUCGGGGCGGGUUCACAGGUGGUGCAUGGUCGUCGUCAGCUCGUGUCGUGAGAUGUUGGGUUAAGUCCCGCAACGAGCGCAACCCUCGCCCUGUGUUGCCAGCACGUCAUGGUGGGAACUCACGGGGGACCGCCGGGGUCAACUCGGAGGAAGGUGGGGAUGACGUCAGAUCAUCAUGCCCCUUACGUCCAGGGCUUCACGCAUGCUACAAUGGCCGGUACAACGGGAUGCGACACGGCGACGUGGAGCGGAUCCCUGAAAACCGGUCUCAGUUCGGAUUGGAGUCUGCAACCCGACUCCAUGAAGGCGGAGUCGCUAGUAAUCGCGGAUCAGCAACGCCGCGGUGAAUGCGUUCCCGGGCCUUGUACACACCGCCCGUCAAGUCAUGAAAGUGGGUAGCACCCGAAGCCGGUGGCCUAACCCU
rnacentral:rRNA from 1 species